CAGUCGACGGCAGCACGGGUGCUUGCACCUGGUGGCGAGUGGCGAACGGGUGAGUAAUACAUCGGAACAUGUCCUGUAGUGGGGGAUAGCCCGGCGAAAGCCGGAUUAAUACCGCAUACGAUCUACGGAUGAAAGCGGGGGACCUUCGGGCCUCGCGCUAUAGGGUUGGCCGAUGGCUGAUUAGCUAGUUGGUGGGGUAAAGGCCUACCAAGGCGACGAUCAGUAGCUGGUCUGAGAGGACGACCAGCCACACUGGGACUGAGACACGGCCCAGACUCCUACGGGAGGCAGCAGUGGGGAAUUUUGGACAAUGGGCGAAAGCCUGAUCCAGCAAUGCCGCGUGUGUGAAGAAGGCCUUCGGGUUGUAAAGCACUUUUGUCCGGAAAGAAAUCCUUGACYCUAAUACGGUCGGGGGAUGACGGUACCGGAAGAAUAAGCACCGGCUAACUACGUGCCAGCAGCCGCGGUAAUACGUAGGGUGCGAGCGUUAAUCGGAAUUACUGGGCGUAAAGCGUGCGCAGGCGGUUUGCUAAGACCGAUGUGAAAUCCCCGGGCUCAACCUGGGAACUGCAUUGGUGACUGGCAGGCUAGAGUAUGGCAGAGGGGGGUAGAAUUCCACGUGUAGCAGUGAAAUGCGUAGAGAUGU
rnacentral:rRNA from 1 species